UGAACUCCGUUAGGUCUUCUCUCACUAUCUUUUUCCUCAGGGUUUUGUUCCAAGGAAACCUCAGAGUAUUUUGCUUCUCUUCCUUCUUCUCCUCUUCUGUGUGGCCUUUGUUUCAAUGAAACUCUAGUAUUUAUAGGCUAAUAUUGGUAGCUUAGUGGGCUUUUGAGAAAGGUCCAAGUCCAAGAUUUUUUUAUUAUUUAUUUAUUUAUUUAAUUAUUUAUUUAAUUAAUUAAUUAAUUAAA
rnacentral:lncRNA from 1 species